UACGUAGGGUGCGAGCGUUGUCCGGAAUUAUUGGGCGUAAAGGGCUCGUAGGCGGUUUGUCACGUCGGGAGUGAAAACCUUGGGCUUAACUCAGGGCUUGCUUUCGAUACGGGCAGACUAGAGGUAUGCAGGGGAGAACGGAAUUCCUGGUGUAGCGGUGAAAUGCGCAGAUAUCAGGAGGAACACCGGUGGCGAAGGCGGUUCUCUGGGCAUGAUCUGACGCUGAGGAGCGAAAGUGUGGGGAGCAAACAGG
rnacentral:rRNA from 1 species